rnacentral:tRNA from 1 species
GGGGGUAUAGCUCAGUGGUAGAGUGCUUGCUUAGCAUGCGCAAGGUCCUAGGUUCAAUCCCUAGCACCUCCA